rnacentral:misc_RNA from 1 species
UCGCGGUUUGCACCGGCAGUCCCGUUAGAGUCCCCAUCUUUACAUGCUGGCAACUAACGGCAGGGGUUGCGCUCGUUAUAGGACUUAACCUGACACCUCACGGCACGAGCUGACGACAACCAUGCAGCACCUUGAAGAUUGCCCGAAGGAAAAGGUGUUUCCACCCCUGUCAAUCCCCAUUUAAGCCCUGGUAAGGUUCCUCGCGUAUCAUCGAAUUAAACCACAUGCUCCACCGCUUGUGCGGGCCCCCGUCAAUUCCUUUGAGUUUCAUUCUUGCGAACGUACUCCCCAGGUGGGUUACUUAUCACUUUCGCUUAACCACUCAGUCUUGCGACCGAACAGCUAGUAACCAUCGUUUACGGCGUGGACUAC